UUUAUUUGUUUAUGAGCUACUAACAAAGCAUCUUCAACUUAAAAAUAUGAAUGAGACAUGCAUGUGUAGUCCCAUCCUCCUCUGAAGCUUUUUCCUAGCUGCGUUUUUCUGACCACGUCAGGGAUGCUCCAGGGUUUUCAACCUCCUUGUGAUAAUGGAAUUCUUGUGCUCACUGGAUGUAUUUUUUCUUUUUCCACAAAAACGGAUAUCUUGGUGGAAUCCUUAUCCCACCAUGCAUUUGUAAUGUGUAAUGUAGG
rnacentral:lncRNA from 1 species